CAGCAGCCGCGGUAAUACCGGCGGCUCGAGUGGUGGCCACUUUUAUUGGGUCUAAAGCGUCCGUAGCCGGCUUGGCAAGUCCCCUGGGAAAUCUGGCGGCUUAACCGUCAGGCGUCCAGAGGAUACUGCCAGGCUUGGGACCGGGAGAGGUGAGAGGUACCUCAGGGGUAGGGGUGAAAUCUUGUGAUCCCUGAGGGACCACCAGUGGCGAAGGCGUCUCACUAGAACGGGUCCGACGGUCAGGGACGAAAGCUGGGGGCACGAACCGGAUUAGAUCCCCGGGUAGUCCCAGCCGUAAACGAUGCUCGCUAGGUGUCAGGCAUGGCAUGACUGUGCCUGGUGCCGAAGGGAAGCCGUGAAGCGAGCCACCUGGGAAGUACGGCCGCAAGGCUGAAACUUAAAGGAAUUGGCGGG
rnacentral:rRNA from 1 species